GACAGAGGGUGCAGACGUUGUUCGGAAUUACUGGGCGUAAAGCGCGUGUAGGCGGCCCUGCAAGUCGGGUGUGAAAUCCCACGGCUCAACCGUGGAAGUGCACUCGAAACUGCAGGGCUAGAGUCCUGGAGAGGAAGGUGGAAUGCUUGGUGUAGAGGUGAAAUUCGUAGAUAUCAAGCGGAACACCGGUGGCGAAGGCGGCCUUCUGGACAGUGACUGACGCUGAGACGCGAAAGCGUGGGGAGCAAACAGG
rnacentral:rRNA from 1 species